rnacentral:rRNA from 1 species
UACGGAGGGGGCUAGCGUUAUUCGGAAUUACUGGGCGUAAAGCGCACGUAGGCGGAUCGUAAAGUCAGAGGUGAAAUCCCAGGGCUCAACCUCGGAACUGCCUUUGAAACUUCCGGUCUUGAGUUCGAGAGAGGUGAGUGGAAUUCCGAGUGUAGAGGUGAAAUUCGUAGAUAUUGGGAAGAACACCAGUGGCGAAGGCGGCUAUCUGGACGGUUUCUGACACUAAGACUCGAAAGCGUGGGGAGCAAACAGG